rnacentral:misc_RNA from 1 species
AACGCACAUUGCGCCCUUUGGUAUUCCGAAGGGCAUGCCUGUUCGAGCGUCAUUAUCACCUCUCAAGCCCUGGCUUGUUGUUGGACCUCUUGGUCGGUCGCAAGACCCAGACCGGUCCCAAAGACAAUGACGGCGUCCGUGGGACCCUCGGUACAAUGAGCUUUAACCAGCACGUAUCAGAGUCUAAAAGCCCCCGGACCCGGUCUCCCUUUUAUUUUCUAAGGUUGACCUCGGAUCAGGUAGGAAUACCCGCUGAACUUAA